rnacentral:rRNA from 1 species
AUUGAACGCUGGCGGCAGGCCUAACACAUGCAAGUCGAACGAGUAGCGGACGGGUGAGUAAUGUCUGAGCAAGUGCCUGAUGGAGGGGGAUAACUACUGGAACAGGUAGCUAAUACCGCAUACCAUGGGAUGUGCCCAGAUGGGAUUGGCUAGUAGGUGGGGUAAAGGCUCACCUAGGCGACGAUCCCUAGCUGGUCUGAGAGGAUGACCAGCCACACUGGAACUGAGACACGGUCCAGACUCCUACGGGAGGCAGCAGUGGGGAAUCUUGCACAAUGGGCGCAAGCCUGAGGCAGCCAGGCCGCGUGUAUGAAGAAGGUCUUCGGGUUGUAAAGUACUUUCAGCGGGGAGGCGUUACCCGCAGAAGAAGCACCGGCUAACUCCGUGCCAGCAGCCGCGGUAAUUC